rnacentral:rRNA from 1 species
UACAGAGGGUGCAAGCGUUGUUCGGAUUUACUGGGCGUAAAGGGCGCGUAGGCGGUCAGCACAAGUCAGUUGUGAAAUCUCCGGGCUUAACCCGGAAAGGUCAACUGAUACUGUGCGACUAGAGUGCGGAAGGGGCAACUGGAAUUCUCGGUGUAGCGGUGAAAUGCGUAGAGAUGUGGAGGAACACCGAUGGCGAAGGCAGCCCCCUGGGUCAAGAUUGACGCUCAUGCACGAAAGCGUGGGGAGCAAACAGG